CAUGACUUCGUACACUCAAGCUCUUGACCUCGUGAUCAGGUUCCCUUUGAACUUUGACAUCUGGGCCCCUCCUCGCCAAGUAGAAGAUAAGUGUCGCCCGUCUCGUAACAGAUCACUGAACCAUAGUCAAAGAGUAUCUCUCCAGCUGAU